rnacentral:rRNA from 1 species
UCUAGCCAUGCCGCGUGAGUGAUGAAGGCCUUAGGGUCGUAAAGCUCUUUCGCCUGUGAUGAUAAUGACAGUAGCAGGUAAAGAAACCCCGGCUAACUCCGUGCCAGCAGCCGCGGUAAUACGGAGGGGGUUAGCGUUGUUCGGAAUUACUGGGCGUAAAGCGCGCGUAGGCGGAUCAGAAAGUUGGGGGUGAAAUCCCGGGGCUCAACCCCGGAACUGCCUCCAAAACUCCUAGUCUAGAGUUCGAGAGAGGUGAGUGGAAUUCCGAGUGUAGAGGUGAAAUUCGUAGAUAUUCGGAGGAACACCAGUGGCGAAGGCGGCUCACUGGCUCGAUACUGACGCUGAGGUGCGAAAGUGUGGGGAGCAAACAGGAUUAGAUACCCUGGUAGUCCACACCGUAAACGAUGAAUGCCAGUCGUCGGAUAGUAUACUAUUCGGUGACACACCUAACGGAUUAAGCAUUCCGCCUGGUGAGUACGGUCGCAAGAUUAAAACUCAAAGGAAUUGACGGGG